AAGUAUUAAAACAAAUAUUUUUGGAAAAAAAGAAUUUUGAAAUAAAUUUUAAAUUAAACAAAAUGGUAACUGAAAAAAGUCCCGAAUUUUGGGACACGGUUUUUCAAAAACAUUUGAAUCCAAAGCCUCAUCUUAGAAUUUUGCCGCUUGGUUUAUUUGAAAGAACAAAAAAAGGUCUUCAACUCAAUAUAUUGCUUCAUAUUUUAGUGUCACACAGAUUACUCACACCAGUACUCCUUCCUCAAGAUGCUACCCUGUUUUAUAUCGCUAUUUUAUAUCUAUAUUUAACUACUAUUAAUUUAUUAUAUUAUAAUAAUAAAAAUAUAAAUAAUUAAAGAGUCAGUUGGAGUACAUUUCUUUAAUUGCUAAUUAUGCUUACAAAAUCAGAAAAAAUAAUUUUGCACGUUAUUCCUGAUGACCCUUUUAAUUGUACUUGUUAUUACAUUUAUUCAGGGAAAGCUUGAGGGUUUGUUAACUGGUGGAUGACCUAAAACACGGACCGUCCGCUACUGACGAGAACUUCCAAAUAGUUAAUGUAUAAACUAUUUUCCAAUUUGGAACUACUCGUAUAUUGUUAAUAUAAUAAUAACUACCGAUAUAUACGCCAUUGUCCGUCUGCUACAAGUGUUCGCGUUGCUAUCGCAUUACAACCUAUCCCCUGAAAUAUGUUGUGCGCUCAAAUAACAUAAAGUGUGAUUUACACGAUAUUAUACAGGCAUAUAAUUGUUUAGCCUCAUCUACAAAUAAAUGUAGUUGAUUAAUAACACUAAUAAACCCAUUUUGUCACUCGAUGUUUUACUUUAACAAUUUAAAAAAAAUGUAUAAUUUUUGUAAUGAUUAAUCUCAUAAUAUGAAAAAAUUUAAGAAAAUUUUAUUAUUAAUAAUUAUAUAUUUGUACCUGUAAU